rnacentral:tRNA from 1 species
GGAGAGGUGGCCGAGCGGCUGAAGGCACUCGCCUGCUAAGCGAGUAGGGGGCGACAAGCUCUCUCGAGGGUUCGAAUCCCUCCCUCUCCG